CUGGGGCCGGCUGUGCCGGAGGGGACGGCGGAGAGCACCAACGGCCUGAGCAGCAUCUCCCACGAGUACCUGAAUGGCAGCUACACGCUGGACAUGGAGUUUGGAGGCGGUGAAGGGGGGGGCCAGCAGCCUUCCCCACCUCAACAGGACCCUCGUCGCCUCCUGCAAACGGCUGCACAGCGAGGUGGACAAGGUGCUGGCGGGGCUGGAGAUCCUCUCCAAGGUGACUGACCAGCAGAGCUCCCCCAUGGUCUCCAAGAUCCUG